rnacentral:misc_RNA from 1 species
GAUGAAGAACGCAGCGAAAUGCGAUACGUAGUGUGAAUUGCAGAAUUCAGUGAAUCAUCGAAUCUUUGAACGCACAUUGCGCCCCUUGGUAUUCCAUGGGGCAUGCCUGUUCGAGCGUCAUUUGUACCUUCAAGCUCUGCUUGGUGUUGGGUGUUUGUCUCGCCUCUGCGUGUAGACUCGCCUCAAAACAAUUGGCAGCCGGCGUAUUGAUUUCGGAGCGCAGUACAUCUCGCGCUUUGCACUCAUAACGACGACGUCCAAAAGUACAUUUUUACACUCUUGACCUCGGAUCAGGUAGGGAUACCCGCUGAACUUAAGCAUAUCAAUAAGCGGAGGA